CUUCCACAAUGGGCGAAAGCCUGAUGGAGCAACGCCGCGUGAGUGAAGAAGGAUUNCGNNUCGUANANCUCUGUUGUAAGGGANNNNNAAGUACAGUAGUAACUGGCUGUACCUUGACGGUACCUUAUUAGAAAGCCACGGCUAACUACGUGCCAGCAGCCGCGGUAAUACGUAGGUGGCAAGCGUUGUCCGGAAUUAUUGGGCGUAAAGCGCGCGCAGGUGGUUUCUUAAGUCUGAUGUGAAAGCCCACGGCUCAACCGUGGAGGGUCAUUGGAAACUGGGAGACUUGAGUGCAGAAGAGGAUAGUGGAAUUCCAAGUGUAGCGGUGAAAUGCGUAGAGAUUUGGAGGAACACCAGUGGCGAAGGCGACUAUCUGGUCUGUAACUGACACUGAGGCGCGAAAGCGUGGGGAGCAAACAGG
rnacentral:rRNA from 1 species